GGGUAUCUAGUCCAAACAAGACAGCUGAUUUCGGCUUAGCAAAUUGCGGUUAAACUCCACAGCUACCCU
rnacentral:tRNA from 1 species